CCCAGUNACAUUANUUUAACGGCCGCGGUAUCCUGACCGUGCAAAGGUAGCAUAAUCAUUUGUUCCUUAAUUAGGGACUUGUAUGAAUGGCCCCACGAGGGUUUGACUGUCUCUUACUUUUAAUCAGUGAAAUUGACCUUCCCGUGAAGAGGCGGGAAUACAUAAAUAAGACGAGAAGACCCUAUGGAGCUUAAAUUAAUUUGUUCAAUCAAAAUUCAAUUUUAUCCAACAGGAAUAAUAACAUUUUAACUGAACAACAAAUUUUGGUUGGGGUGACCUCGGAGUACAAAAGAACCUCCGAGCGAUUUAACUAAGACAUACUAGUCAAGGCCAUAUAACUCAUUGAUCCAAUCAUAUUGAUCAACGGAACAAGUUACCCUAGGGAUAACAGCGCAAUCCUAUUUGAGAGUUCAUAUCGACAAUAGGGUUUACGACCUCGAUGUUGGAUCAGGACACCCAAAUGGUGCAGCAGCUAUUAAAGGUUCGUUU
rnacentral:rRNA from 1 species